rnacentral:rRNA from 1 species
AGAGUUUGAUCAUGGCUCAGGAUGAACGCUAGCUACAGGCUUAACACAUGCAAGUCGAGGGGAAACGACAUCGAAAGCUUGCUUUUGAUGGGCGUCGACCGGCGCACGGGUGAGUAACGCGUAUCCAACCUGCCCACCACUUGGGGAUAACCUUGCGAAAGUAAGACUAAUACCCAAUGACGUCUCUAGAAGACAUCUGAAGGAGAUUAAAGAUCUAUCGGUGAUGGAUGGGGAUGCGUCUGAUUAGCUUGUUGGCGGGGUAACGGCCCACCAAGGCGACGAUCAGUAGGGGUUCGUGAGAGGAAGGUCCCCCACAUUGGAACUGAGACACGGUCCAAACUCCGUACGGGAGGCA